rnacentral:rRNA from 1 species
GACGUAGGGGACGAGCGUUGUCCGGAUUCAUUGGGCGUAAAGCGCGCGUAGGCGGCCACGCAAGUCGGGUGUGAAAUCCCGGGGCUCAACUCCGGAACUGCACUCGAAACUGCGCGGCUUGAGGUAGGUAGGGGAGAUCGGAAUUCCUGGUGUAGCGGUGAAAUGCGCAGAUAUCAGGAGGAACACCGGUGGCGAAGGCGGCUUCCUGGACUGUCCCUGACGCUGAGGCUCGAAAGCGUGGGUAGCAAACAGG